UACGAAGGGGGCUAGCGUUGCUCGGAAUCACUGGGCGUAAAGCGCACGUAGGCGGAUUGCUAAGUCAGGGGUGAAAUCCUGGAGCUCAACUCCAGAACUGCCCUUGAUACUGGCGGUCUCGAGUCCGGGAGAGGUGAGUGGAACUGCGAGUGUAGAGGUGAAAUUCGUAGAUAUUCGCAAGAACACCAGUGGCGAAGGCGGACUCACUGGCCCGGUACUGACGCUGAGGUGCGAAAGCGUGGGGAG
rnacentral:rRNA from 1 species